rnacentral:tmRNA from 1 species
GGGGCUGAUUCUGGAUUCGACGGGAUUUGCGAAACCCAAGGUGCAUGCCGAGGGGCGGUUGGCCUCGUAAAAAGCCGCAAAAAAAUAGUCGCAAACGACGAAAACUACGCUUUAGCAGCUUAAUAACCUGCUUAGAGCCCUCUCUCCCUAGCCUCCGCUCUUAGGACGGGGAUCAAGAGAGGUCAAACCCAAAAAGAGAUCGCGUGGAUGCCCUGCCUGGGGUUGAAGCGUUAAAACGAAUCAGGCUAGUCUGGUAGUGGCGUGUCCGUCCGCAGGUGCCAGGCGAAUGUAAAGACUGACUAAGCAUGUAGUACCGAGGAUGUAGGAAUUUCGGACGCGGGUUCAACUCCCGCCAGCUCCACCA